CUACGGGGCGCACCAGUGAGGAAUAUUGCACAAUGGGGGAAACCCUGAUGCAGCAACGCCGCGUGGAGGAUGACGCAUUUCGGUGUGUAAACUCCUUUUAUCAGAGAAGAAAAUGACGGUAUCUGAUGAAUAAGCUCCGGCUAACUCCGUGCCAGCAGCCGCGGUAAUACGGAGGGAGCAAGCGUUAUUCGGAAUCACUGGGCGUAAAGGACGCGUAGGCGGGUUUUUAAGUCAGGUGUGAAAUCCUAUGGCUCAACCAUAGAACUGCACUUGAAACUGGGGACCUAGAGUAUGGAAGGGGCAGGUGGAAUUAGUGGUGUAGGGGUAAAAUCCGUAGAUAUCACUAGGAAUACCGAAAGCGAAGGCGACCUGCUGGGACAUUACUGACGCUGAGGCGUGAAAGCGUGGGGAGCAAACAGGAUUAGAUACCCGCGUAGUC
rnacentral:rRNA from 1 species